rnacentral:lncRNA from 1 species
CAAAGCUUAUCUAAGAAAAUUGAAACAUUAAAGUGGUAGGCAUAUCCUAUACAUAUUUAUAAUUUUAAAUAACAACUUUGUCCUUAAAUUUUAGUGAUUUUUGUAUUUCUCAUAGGAUUUCUGACUCCCUUUUCCCCCUUCCUAAAAGUCUUUCUCUUUUCGAUUGUUGUGAAGAAUGAAAGAAGACAGAAAGACUGAUGUUUCUAAGCAUUUCACUCACAAUUGUGUUUUUCUUCUAUGAGAUGGCAGAUAGGUACUUGAGACCUGUUGGCAAUGAUGGCCUGAGCUAAACACCUCCUAAUUUGAAGGAACACCCUUCAGUCUCAAAGGACAGAAUGCUGAGAAAGCUAUGGCAGGUAUGUGUGUGUUGUUCUGCUAAGGUAAAACUCAGAUACUGAAUGUGCUCACUUUAGAUCUCCUGAUACUAUAUUUAGCUACAGUUUUAAAACCUUUUGUUUGAAAAGCAGCGGAUAUAUUCCUAACACUUUUUAAAGAAAUGUACUUUCAAACUCUAAAAAUAUAGGAGUAUUGGCUGCUUUAAUGUUAAAGGAAACACCAUCACACUUCAUAGUAAAUCUAUGAGGUAUAUUUAUAAUUGAUUUUUCAAUGGAUACUUGCUGAAAUCCUUUAUGUGUCA